GGACUCAUCAGACCUAGGGGUAUGAUUCUCGCUUCGGGUGCGGGAGGUCCUGGGUUCAAUUCCUGGACGAGCCCC